AUGCACACGUUAUUCAAUCAUUGCACCCACACUGCUCGUGAGUGUCUGCGUAGUCAGGCGCUAAAAUAUAACUUGGUUCUAUUUGUGAUGCUCGACACACUGCAAGUCCUGCUUCCCAUCUCCUCAUUUUUUUUUAUGACCAUGUACCCACGUGGGUGAUUGAAAGAUGAACCGAGGUCUACACUCCAGUCGGUUGUGGUAAUGCACUUUAAAAGUUGGUUGCCAUAUAAAGUCCGAAGAAGAAGCCUGAAGGAGGAGAGAUUACUAGAAACGAACUCGGUUGACCGUUUUAUUUGUGGAUUAAUUGUUGGAGUAGAGGACCUUGUGCAUUUCAGGAGGAAGUGAAGACUCAUAGAGCAACACAUACACACAUAUGUGCCGAUUCAGGAGGGUGACAGGAAAGUGGAAUCAAGAUUAUGGUGACCUGAGCUGAGCCCAUACGAGACACUUGCUCCGCUUCGCACCUUAAGAGGAGAUGACUUCAAUAAACAUGAAACAGGUUUUUCAAGACUUCAAGAUAUGAAUGGAACAGGAUAGACCGUCUUUUUUCCACCCCAAGAAGGCAGCUAAAUUCAGAAUAGAAAGUGAACCUGAGUUUAAAUUAGUUUAAAUUGUGAAUGGGACACUCAGUAGUGGUGUUAGCGGGUAGGGUGGUAACGGAACCCAUAAAGCAGCUGUGUCUUUCAAAAGCAGCUGGAUAUGAGCUCCGUUUCCAUCCCGUUUCGCAACAUCCAACAGUCUGACCGUUUGUAGAGAGAAACAUACUUCCUGGUGUACUUGAGUCAGUGAGUGUCUUUUAGUGUGAUGUGGCUGCAGUUGACUCUUCAAUAACUAAUAGGUGAUGUUCUUCAAUGACACGUUUUCUCCCGGAUUGACACAAACUAUAAGCCCCGGGAAUUUCGUGUCAGCAAAGAAUGACACCAGCUUCUAUAUAGGACAUGAGCAGCUUAAGCUAUUUAUUUUAGCUGAUUAAUGUAGUGUGUAAAUUGAUUUAUCAUCAGGCUAUUGUUUCUGAAUUGUUGCCCUGUUAUUCUGAAUUAAAAUAUAACUGGAUUUUA